rnacentral:lncRNA from 1 species
GAGGACCGUAUUCAUGGAAGAGGAUCGAACAGACUACUGAGUUCUUAUGAGAAAAAUGGCUCUUAAGAAAUUGAAGGUGAUACCAAAGGAAAGUUACUUAUUACUUUUGGACUUUGAUGAUGAGGACGAUGAUAUAAAAGUUUCAGAGGAGGCUCUUUCGGAAGUAAAGAGCCCAGCAUUUGAUAAAAAUGAGAAUAUAUCGCCUCAAGCAGAAGCAGAUGAAGAUAUGGGAGAUGAAGUAGACAGUAUGUUGGAUAAAUCUGAAGGAAGAACAUCAACAACAAAUUUUGUGAGCAGUAUAUAACUACAUUUCAGAAGUCUUAUAUGGAUGUACAGAAAUUCAAUGAGGAAAAAGAAAAAUCAGUGAAUAGUUGUCAAAAAGAACAACAAGCAUUGAAACUGUCCAAAUGUAGUCAGAACCAGACCCUGGAAGCAGGUAAAGAAAUGCAUGAGAAGUCCAUGGAGCUGCAUCAUUGGACUCAAACUGAAUGGUCCAUGUGUUGCCACUGAUGUGAGCCAUU